GACAAUGCUGGAUCCUUAACCUGCUGAGCCACAUUUCAAGUGCUCAACAUUCACAUGUCAUCAUAGCUACCAUAUGGGAAAACCCAAGUCUAGACAGAAAAUAAACAAGUAAAUCCACAAAUACAGAACAUAGAGAGACAGCAAGGAAGCGUGUGAUUCUCAUGCCUGGAUUUGUCAUGUUGGGGGACUUGGACAAGGCAAUUUCUUUCACAGAUAGCAGUUUCCCCAUUUGGGAAAUAAAGCAUCCACCCUUUAAUAUAACUAUAAACUCUUGAGAAUGACCUCCAGAAAGUUAUGGGCCAGAUGAUCCAAUCAUGCAACUGUGUGACGUGAAUAUCAUUUUUCUCAUUCUACUGAGGAGAAACAUGAGGCAGAAAGAGGUUUAUUAUCUUAGAUUUGGGAUUUAAACCUGGACCAUGCUGGCUUCAGAGACUGCCCUUUUCAACCACUUAGCCAUGUUUCUUUGCUUUCUUAUAAAUCAUGUGAUUUAACUCUUAUAA